rnacentral:rRNA from 1 species
AGUGAACGCUGGCGGCGUGCCUAAUACAUGCAAGUCGAACGGACAAGUAAGAGCUUGCUCUUAUGAGUUAGUGGCGCACGGGUGAGUAAUGUAUAGCUAAUCUGCCCUACACUAGAGGACAACAGUUGGAAACGACUGCUAAUACUCUAUACUCCUGUCUUACAUAAGUUAGAUAGGGAAAGUUUUUCGGUGUAGGAUGAGGCUAUAUUGUAUCAGCUAGUUGGUGAGGUAAUGGCUCACCAAGGCUAUGACGCAUAACUGGUCUGAGAGGAUGAUCAGUCACACUGGAACUGAGACACGGUCCAGACUCCUACGGGAGGCAGCAGUAGGGAAUAUUGCUCAAUGGGGGAAACCCUGAAGCAGCAACGCCGCGUGGAGGAUGACACUUUUCGGAGCGUAAACUCCUUUUGUUAGGGAAG